AUCCUGUUGUAGUUCAUGAGCAUAACGAUUGGGUGUUCAUGUGCUUGUGUAAGAUGUGCCACCCUUAAACCUUGUUACAACGUUGGCACAUUACCCAUCUGACA